CGAGGGGGGCGAGCGUUGUUCGGAAUUAUUGGGCGUAAAGGGUGCGUAGGCGGUUUGGUAAGUCUUGUGUGAAAUCUCCAGGCUCAACUUGGAGUCUGCACGAGAAACUGCCGGGCUUGAGUGUGGGAGAGGUGAGUGGAAUUCCUGGUGUAGCGGUGAAAUGCGUAGAUAUCAGGAGGAACACCUGUGGCGAAAGCGGCUCACUGGACCACAACUGACGCUGAUGCACGAAAGCUAGGGGAGCAAACAGGAUUAGAUACCCUGGUAGUCCUAGCCCUAAACGAUGACUGCUUGGUGUGACGGGUACCCAAUCCCGCCGUGCCGUAGCUAACGCGUUAAGCAGUCCGCCUGGGGAGUACGGUCGCAAGGCUG
rnacentral:rRNA from 1 species